UUUCUCCCUCUGAGCCGAGGAUUCUGAUGGAAGUGUUGUCAGGUCAGCUCAUUGUCACUGAGGUCUGGUGCUGUGUUGCAGACAGCAAAGGUCCCCGCCAUGCAAGGCGUGAUGAUGCCUCAGUAUUGUGGAAGUGCUCCAGUUACAGCAAUACAACACCUGGGAGCAAGUCCUACAUUUCACCUACAAACUCCACAGACAAUGCUCUGAUGCCCAAAAGGUGGAGGCGAAGCUGUGAGGGAUACACAGACCUGGGCACUUUUCUCAAGUCUUCUAGGUAACCCUGAAUGAUGCGCCACCUCCUAAAAAGAAAGUGGAGGCAGCAUUCCCCCCUGACAAGGAGCCUCUUUGACAAGUUGCAGAUGAUUCAGUUUAAGACAAGGCAGUACCACCUGAUUGAGUUUUUUUUUUCUUUUCCUCCUCUUACUGACCCUACCUUACCGGGUUCUGAUGCAGGGCAUGUUAUAUUCAGGUCUAACCGCAUGCAUGGGUAGUUUCUGUCUCCUGGCUAAACGGAGCCGGUAGAAGGUGGAGAGCUUCAUUGCAAAGUCCAACUGAACUGGGAACUCUAACACUGCAGAGGAGGUCCUGGAGAUCUGCACAGCGCUAUCCACCGCACCCCAAAAGCCAGCCAGGACUUUAUGUGCCACAUCCAGGACCAGAGGUGAAUGGGACUUGUCAUUUCGGAGAGCAAGAACACUGUCAGCAGAAGAGGACUUUCAUCAAGGGGUCCAUCGCAUGUGACUACCAUGGAAUAUUCACUAUUGCUGCCAAGGCUGGCGGCUUGCAGGGUCCCUGAAAGCGGGACAAGAUGCAUAAAUUUACUUUUUAAAGUCUGGGGACCAUGGACUUCUGCAUAAACUCUCAGGUCCACCUGUGUGACAGUCAUCCGCAGCUCACCAUCUUUGGCUGACCGAUAAACCUUUCUGCCAAAAUCAUCAACACAAAAUGUCUGUUAGUUAAGUUCCCAGGCCUGGCAGACCCAUUUCUCCUAAUAAAAACAAGAGACAUCAAGCUGGGAGAGGAAAUCUACGUGGACCAUGGGGUGAGGCAGCACUCGUUUAGGGUUGGAAGGCCAGGGGACGAUCUUAACUGGAUGGGUGAGGUUGGCUCACCUCCCCCCAAGAGAAAUAGUUUAGUCUUAUGUUGACAAUGUUCUAUUCAAUAUUUUAUUAGUUAAAAAAUUUAUUUUAAUUUGUUUAACUGGUGUAGUAAAAAGUUCAGUGUUUGAAGUUUUAGUGUUGUAAUUGCUGUUUUGUGUGUACUUCAAAGUUCAGUAAGACUUUAAAUUGUGUUGUUGCAAUUACAGUUUUUGUUUCGUCUUGUGCUGCUGAUAAUUUUUUCCCCCAUUUUAUCCUUCUGGUCCUGGAUGCAAGACAGUUGACCAAUCAUGGCACAGAAUGUUUUCCUUUUGCAUUUAUUUUAAACUUUGGCUUUGAGCAUGUGUAAAAUAUUUGGUAAAAAGGCCAAGGAAGCUGACCUUCAUUGAGGU